CACAUGACGGCGGACACGAGAUACGUUAAACAUACGAGUAAAAAACUUAAGUGACACCUUACCUGGAGUUUUUCUGUGCCCGGUUAUUACCGCCUCGCCACUUACUGGAUGCAGCCAGGUUGUACUCUUGGCUUCUUCGCUGUUUGGAGAGAGAGGAGGGAAAUGCGUUCAUUAUUACCACACGGUGACUUUGUUUGAAUCAGAAACGAACUGAAACGACUUGAGCCUUUUUCCUCGGAGGGAUAGUUACUUAAUGAAGAAGACGCGUCCAUCCCGAGUAACCCCAUAACUCCAGGAAGAAGGGAGACAAGAAAUCCACUCGGGUUGUAUAUCCGCCGCCAUGUCUGGCAAUACUGUAUGACAAUCGCGCGGCUCCGCUCUCACAGGCAGCGCGUACACGGAAACCUUGGCAACGGCGGAUGGCUGAGAGGAGGGCAGGAGCCCAGGAGGUGGGGCACACAGGAUCCAGUUACAGGUUUGAUUGAAAACUUCGCCCUCAUCUAUAUGCAAGUUUGCAUAGACUUCUAUUUCCAAGAAGCUGAUGUAUGACAAUGCAAACCACAACAUCUGUUUGGCUUUGCAUUAUUCAGGAUGUCUCAGCAUGAAGUCCUCCCCUGUUUACACACAUAUCCUGUGUCUGAUGGGAAAGCGAAGCAGUGUGACAAACAGGUCAUGAGCGUCUUCUCGAGGGCAGCAAGGGUCAUGUGAGCGACAGUGAGAAGGGCUCUGGUCCAAAAAUAAUUCUUCAAGGCAGAUGGCAAGAAAGCCUCAAGGACAACACUGAUAUUCCCAAAUGAUCCUGGAGUUUGGGACAAUAAACUAAACUUUAUCUGAUUAUCCCUCCCACUCUGUUCAGAAACGACUAAGUUCAAAGAGAGCCAUCUUAUAUAUUAAUCAUAGUUCCUAAUGAACGAAAGGAAAAGAUUCCAUUUGAACAGGGUGUACAGACUUUGAUACAGAUCUUACCCAGCACAGAACAAAAGAAAGCCUUGUACACAGAAUAUUGUGUGAACAUGUUAAAAGCAAUGACAAGAAGUUUUUAACUGGUUAUGAAACAGCCUAAGUUUAAUACUGAUUCCUCUAUAUGACCUACAUAAGCAAAGGAGACCAUCAGCAAGAUUUUAUUUCUAUAUAGUCAUUCUUAACGCCUGAGAACGGAAAGAUAUUCUUAAAAAUAGCAUCUUUCUCUCUCUUGUUUCCAAACAAAUGCACGCCAUGGACAUACCAAGAUGUUUAUGACAUGAGUUGAUGUUUUUCCAACACAUUUUCCCACAGGAGACACUAAAAUCAACACAAAAUGACAGUUUCUUAAAAAGUUAAGAAACAUAAAGUAGCUUUUUUUUUUGUUGCAUGAACAGCAAAAAGAACAACAAGAUUAGCGCUGAACAGAACUCUUCCUUCUCUGACAACUGGUGGCCUUGAUAGAAAAUCAAAAUACACUAUAUAUAUCCUCCAGUUGAGAUGGCAUAACCUCCAAAGUAAUUAAUUAUGUAAAAAGGAAAAGAAGGAAACAUAUGACCUAGUCUCUGACAUCACAGUACACAUAUUUAUGUAUGAACAUCUGCUCUGCUUGGGGCUAUUUUUGGCCUGAAGUUUUUUGUUUUUUUUACAUUUAAGGUCAAACAGAAGUGCAUGAUCAAAGUACCAUUACUGCUUCAGUUAGUUCCUUAUUGGUGUCACAUUAAGAGUUGUUUAGUUGCAGCCCUUUGCCUUUUGGGUGAAUUGCCUCAUUCUUAAGUCCCAAAACUCAGACACUGUAAGUUAUUGUGAAAUCUUGGAUUUCCACAGAAAAUAAGUCACUCUGUUUGUCUGCGUAACUCCUGCGUGUUUAUUC